rnacentral:lncRNA from 1 species
AUUUCCUUCCCUAUUCUUGGAGAGAAGACUGGAAGUAAGCAGUUAUUACAACUAAUUUACCUUUGUCACAGCCUUCUAACGCGAACCCUUUCACACUCUGGGAGGGUACACAGCCCUAAAUGUGCUUUUGGAACAAUCCUAUCAGUCCUACUUAAGGGUUCUCUGUUCCAACUGCCUCUUCCUGAGCCUUCCAACAGUAAUUCCACAACUACGGAGCAACUGAUGAACAUUUCUACUUAAACAUUUCAACAAAUAACCCAGAAAAUGUUACUUACUCCUGGAAUAUAACUAGUGCUAAAAAAAAGCCACCUAUUAUUUUAUUUAUAAAAGCAAAAAAUAUUAGAAAUUUAAGUGUUAAUUUUUUUACAGAUCUGGACAAUUAUGAAACAUCUAUAUGACAGAACGUGCCAUCACUUUUAAAAAGUUUACAAAUAAGCUGCAAUAACAUAGGAAAAGCUUAAUAUAAAUGAUGAAUAAAUAAAAAAGAUACUAAAUACUAUGUCCUUUAUGAACUCAACUAUGGGGAAAAUGCACUGAGAAAGAUUAGAAGAAAAUACAAACUNNNNNNNNNNNNNNNNNNNNNNNNNNNNNNNNNNNNNNNNNNNNNNNCUUUCUAUAUUUUACCAUAAUAAAUAAGUACCACUUCUGUUAUUAAAAAAAAAACAAAAAUCGGGGUGGAGAUGUGUAAAUUCAAAUAAAUUUUUAACAAAUAGAAUUUGAGAGCUAUAAACAGUGCUGUUUAUCAGGCAACAUGGAAACAGAGCUUUGUGGGCAAAGAGGCAUUCCUUUCUUUGACUUUGUUAGGAAAAGAAUUUAAUUAGGAUAUUUUAAACUUUUAUAAAAUGUUUUGUGAUUAUUAAAAUAUUACUUAUCACUAUUGCUGUGGCAUUUUAUAGAUUAAACAAAACCUACUACUGAGAUUUCUCUUGAUUUAGGAUACUGAACAUGUAAUACAUAUAUCAUAUAGAAAAUAACACAGGCUUAUGAUUUAGAUGCUUGCUCCUUGGAAGAAAAGCUAUGACCAACCUAGACAGCACAU